UUUUAACUUUUGCUUUAUCCUAUUUAUUUACCCCUGUAAAAGCUACGGUUACUUUGGAAAUCCCAAAUCAGGCAAGGAGACAAAGACGAAGCAACUGAACACUAUUAAAGAAACACGAAGACAACGCCAUUGAAGAAGCACAAGCCUUUUUUAGGACGAAAAUGAAAAGCCAUCAACUUGCAACGUCGAAUACGAAGAACGAAGAAUUCAAUGUAUGAGAGGAAACCCAAAGAAGGACAUGCUAGAUUUUAGCCAAAGAAAAGCAAUGCUGAUGCAACUAAUGUGCAAGAUGUUGUACAAGCUGAUGCAUGUAAUAUUCAAGUUGAUGAAGGGAUUGAUGCAGGUCCAUAUGAGAGAGUAAAAUACCAUGUUCAUGCUGAGACUAAUACAAUCCAAGUUCAUACUGAGAUUGAUGUAAUCCAUGUUGAUGCUGAUAUUGAUGCAAGUCAAGCUGAAUCAUGUGUGUUUGACACAAGUCAGGUUGAAGGAAGUCAAGCUCAACCAAAACAGAAGAAGCAUUAAAAACCUAUUUUGAGGAUGAUAAAAAGGCAAAGUGAAAUAUUAAAUUUGAAAUGGUUUCAAAAACCAGUUACAGGUCAAGGUUCAACUUCUCACCAAUCCAUCACAUUGACAAAGCAUGAUGCGGGAACUUCGACACAUAGAACUGAUUCAAAGCCAGGGGUGUGUACCAGAUCCUUUAAAUCUUAGAAGAAAAAUAAAUGACAGAGCAUGGUUAUAUCGUAUUAAGGAACUUUGUAACAACUAGUAUGUUUAAGCUAUGUCUGUAUUAAGGAACUUGGUUAUGUUUGUAUUAAGGCACUUAGUUAUGUCUUAAAUCUGAUGCACUUUAGGUGCCAUUUUGUAAUGAAAUUGUAAUUUAGUUGUAAUGACUUAUGAACUUUAUGUACUUCUUACUAUCUAUGUCUUAUUUUGGUUA